rnacentral:rRNA from 1 species
AUUGAACGCUGGCGGCAGGCCUAACACAUGCAAGUCGAGCGGAUGAAGGGAGCUUGCUCCUGGAUUCAGCGGCGGACGGGUGAGUAAUGCCUAGGAAUCUGCCUGGUAGUGGGGGAUAACGUCCGGAAACGGGCGCUAAUACCGCAUACGUCCUGAGGGAGAAAGUGGGGGAUCUUCGGACCUCACGCUAUCAGAUGAGCCUAGGUCGGAUUAGCUAGUUGGUGGGGUAAAGGCCUACCAAGGCGACGAUCCGUAACUGGUCUGAGAGGAUGAUCAGUCAAACUGGAACUGAGACACGGUCCAGACUCCUACGGGAGGCAGCAGUGGGGAAUAGUGGACAAUGGGCGAAAGCCUGAUCCAGACAUGCCGCGUGUGUGAAGAAGGUCUUCGGAUUGUAAAGCACUUUAAGUUGGGAGGAAGGGCAGUAAGUUAAUACCUUGCUGUUUUGACGUUACCAACAGAAUAAGCACCGGCUAACUUCGUG